GAUGAACGCUAGCUACAGGCUUAACACAUGCAAGUCGAGGGGCAGCGGGAUUGAAGCUUGCUUCAAUUGCCGGCGACCGGCGCACGGGUGAGUAACGCGUAUCCAACCUUCCGUACACUCAGGGAUAGCCUUUCGAAAGAAAGAUUAAUACCUGAUGGUAUGAUGAGAUUGCAUGAUAUCAUCAUUAAAGAUUUAUCGGUGUACGAUGGGAAUGCGUUCCAUUAGGUAGUAGGCGGGGUAACGGCCCACCUAGCCAACGAUGGAUAGGGGUUCUGAGAGGAAGGUCCCCCACAUUGGAACUGAGACACGGUCCAAACUCCUACGGGAGGCAGCAGUGAGGAAUAUUGGUCAAUGGACGAGAGUCUGAACCAGCCAAGUAGCGUGAAGGAUGAAGGUCCUACGGAUUGUAAACUUCUUUUAUAAGGGAAUAAACCCUCCCACGUGUGGGACCUUGUAUGUACCUUAUGAAUAAGCAUCGGCUAACUCCGUG
rnacentral:rRNA from 1 species